CCGAGCGCCUUUCUCAGAGGAAUGAAGGCCUUCUCCAGGUGAUGUCUGCCUGCGCUACACAGGGCCCGAAGACCACGGGGGCCACGGCAGGGGCAGUGCUGGCAGCUGCCGGUCUGCGCGCUGGCUCUCCCCACUUCUGAGCGGGCGUGCUUUCUGCCAAAGCACCACGACGGGAGGGGACAGCUGUAGUGCUCCCUGCCCCCUCCCCCGGAGCUAUAAAAAGCCCCAACACCCAAGUGAGCAGAGGACACGCCGAGCCCAAGUGCAGAACUUUGCUGGACACGAGGAGCUCGGCUCAACGGCCAUGCUGAGGUUAGCCUCCGCCAGCAGGCUGCUGCCAGCCCCCCGGAGCGGCUGGGUGCUUCCCAAGGCACACGUCUCCGCCAAGCCAGCCAGAACACCCACUUCUCCCAUGGAGCAAGCCAUCGGGCUCUCGGUGAUGUUCCUCAGCUUCCUGAUUCCUGCAGGCUGGGUCUUACACCACCUGGAGAGCUACAAGAGAAGCUCGGCAGCAUGAAGGCUCUGUGGUUCCAGCUCCAGGCACAGGAUGAAAGAAUCGCAUUAAACCCUUCCCUUCACCUA